UUGUCAGGAUGGCCGAGCGGUCUAAGGCUCCAGAUUUAAGCUCUGGUUCUCGAAAGAGAGCGUGGGUUCGAGCCCCAUUUCUUAAU